rnacentral:miRNA from 1 species
UCACGUCUGCGGCUGUCACG